CAUCAGAAUUAUGAAAAUGUCCAAACUCAACCAAAAGUUCAUUAACAUUCAGCGUAGUCACUUCAAUUAAAGAAAACUCUUAAUUUUUCCAUCUUGCACUUGAAAUGUGGACUAAAACUGGAAUAUAAAUGUGACUAUAUUUUAUAAUGAUUUAAUGUGACAAUCUUUCUAUUUGCAAAUUGUCUAGCAAAGGGCCACAAACAUCAGUUCAUAAUAUGCACAUUCAAAAACAUACCAUAACAAUUUGCAGGAUGCUUUUUAAUUACCUGGCAAAAGACACAUGGAGAUUUCUUACAUGAUUCAUUUUUUUACAUGUGUUGCCAGUUCUGAACUACUGGUAAUUUGAAUUUUUAAAUUCUUCUUUGGGAUAUUUGCUAAAAUCUGUCAAGAAGCUCCAGCAAAGCUUCCCUUUAUUUCCAAACCACUUCAGGUGAGCUGCCUUUUCCUGCUGAUGGGAUAAAUGUGCUGAGCAUUUUCAGCUGGAUAUCAGAUGAAACUAACCAAAACCAGGUCCUUAAGGCCCAGAUUUUCAGAGCACUUAAUGCUAAUAACUGAAGCCUAAUGUGGUUGAAGCUGCUGGGGCACUGUGUCCCUGAAAACCUGAAACUAGGUUUUGUAUCAGAUGUUGCCAGUAUGUCCUACAUUUACAUGUGUCUCUGACCAAAGUUUUUGAAGCUCUUGAAAACUUUGGGUUUGUCUUGUUAGUGUUUUCUUGCUGUUCAUUUUUAUUUUUUAAUUAUACACUGGAUGGAUCUCAAAGUGACAGCACUGGCUAUUAAUAAUAUUCAGAUGUUGUUUAUUUAAAAACAAAACAACAACAAGAAAACCAGAUCGCUUUACUAUCUAUUUGCAAAAGUAAGCAGGAACAACUUGACAUGCAUGAUUCCUAAUGUAGAAAGUUUCAGAAAGUCUCCUUAACAGAGGCAGUACAUUGUAAGGUCUAAGAAUGUAUUGCAGGGCAUCCUUAAAUGAGAUUCAGAGUCUUGUGGAAAUUGCCCAUUUUUUUUUAAAUUGCUGGAUAUGCU
rnacentral:lncRNA from 1 species